UCGAGCGAACAUAGAGAGGAAGUUUUAAAUGGAAUCUAUUAUGACUGAGCGGCGGACGGGUGAGUAACGCGUGGGGAACCUGCCCUAUACAGGGGGAUAACAGUUAGAAAUGACUGCUAAUACCGCAUAAGCGCACGGAGCCGCAUGGCGCUGAGUGAAAAACGAUAGUGGUAUAGGAGGGACCCGCGUCUGAUUAGGUAGUUGGCGGGGUAACGGCCCACCAAGCCGACGAUCAGUAGCCGACCUGAGAGGGUGACCGGCCACAUUGGGACUGAGACACGGCCCAAACUCCUACGGGAGGCAGCAGUGGGGAAUAUUGCACAAUGGGGGAAACCCUGAUGCAGCGACGCCGCGUGAGUGAAGAAGUAUUUCGGUAUGUAAAGCUCUAUCAGCAGGGAAGAAGAAGGACGGUACCUGAGUAAGAAGCCCCGGCUAACUACGUGCCAGCAGCCGCGGUAAUACGUAGGGGGCAAGCGUUAUCCGGAUUUACUGGGUGUAAAGGGAGCGUAGACGGCGAAGAAAGUCUGAAGUGAAAGCCCGCGGCUCAACCGUGGAAUGGCUUUGGAAACUUUUUUGCUGGAGUACCGGAGAGGUAAGCGGAAUUCCUAGUGUAGCGGUGAAAUGCGUAGAUAUUAGGAGGAACACCAGUGGCGAAGGCGGCUUACUGGACGGUAACUGACGUUGAGGCUCGAAAGCGUGGGGAGCAAACAGGAUUAGAUACCCUGGUAGUCCACGCGGUAAACGAUGAAUGCUAGGUGUUGGUGGACAAAGUCCAUCGGUGCCGUCGNCAACGCAGUAAGCAUUCCACCNGGGGAGUACG
rnacentral:rRNA from 1 species